rnacentral:rRNA from 1 species
AUUGAACGCUGGCGGCAUGCUUUACACAUGCAAGUCGAACGGUAACAGGGUGCUUGCACCGCUGACGAGUGGCGAACGGGUGAGUAAUGCGUCGGAACGUGCCGAGUAGUGGGGGAUAACGCAGCGAAAGUUGUGCUAAUACCGCAUACGUACUGAGGUAGAAAGUGGGGGACCUUCGGGCCUCACGCUAUUCGAGCGGCCGACGUCUGAUUAGCUAGUAGGUGAGGUAAAGGCUCACCUAGGCGACGAUCAGUAGCGGGUCUGAGAGGAUGGUCCGCCACACUGGGACUGAGAAACGGCCCAGACUCCUACGGGAGGCAGCAGUGGGGAAUUUUGGACAAUGGGCGAAAGCCUGAUCCAGCCAUGCCGCGUGUCUGAAGAAGGCCUUCGGGUUGUAAAGGACUUUUGUCAGGGAGGAAAUCCCUAGUGCUAAUAACACUGGGGGAUGACAGUACCUGAAGAAUAAGCACCGGCUAACUACGUGCCAGCAGCCGCGGUAA